GCCCCGGUGGCGGAAUAGGCAUACGCGGCAGGUUGAGGGCCUGUGCCCGCAAGGGCGUGGAGGUUCGACUCCUCUCCGGGGCA
rnacentral:tRNA from 1 species